rnacentral:rRNA from 1 species
AGACGGGGGGUGCUAGCGUUGUUCGGAAUUACUGGGCGUAAAGCGCGCGUAGGCGGUUUGCUCAGUCGGAUGUGAAAGCCCAGGGCUCAACCUUGGAACUGCAUACGAUACUGGCAAACUAGAGUGUGAGAGAGGAUAGUGGAAUUUCCGGUGUAGCGGUGAAAUGCGUAGAUAUCGGAAGGAACAUCAGUGGCGAAGGCGACUGUCUGGCUCAACACUGACGCUGAGGUGCGAAAGCGUGGGUAGCAAACAGGAUUAGAUACCCCAGUAGUCC